CGCCAGCUGCAGCCCCGGCCGCCCACUCGCCUCAUCUGAGCCUGGGCGAAUCUGGAUUGGGAAAGUUGAUAUUAAUCAACUCAUUAUUCCUCACAGAUUUGUAUUCUCCAGAGUAUCCAGGUCCUUCUCAGAGAAUUAAAAAGCCUGUACAGGUCUACAUAUUGGUAUUUUUAAUUGAUGAUAAGCUGGAAUAAUAUUAAUACACACAAAGCACGUGUUGUAACUUUCAUUAUGCUUCCCUAGAGGUAAGAUGCAAAUUUGCCCUUAGCCAGUGUAAGAUGGUAAAUAUGACUUCAUAAAAUCAAAAAAACAGAGGAAGUACAGUUAAUCGAAAGAAUUAUCUUGACUAGAACUUUCCAAAUUUGUCCUAAGGAUUCUCCUAGAGAUGACACUGUGACAUAGUAACCAAUUCCCCUGGAGUUGUGCUAUGUAGUAUGAUAGUCAUUUGCCACAUGUGGCUAUUAAUCUUUGAAAUGUGGGUAGUCUGAAUUGUGAUGUUCUGCAAAUAUAAAAUAUGCCACAGAUUUCUAAGACUGAGCAUGGAAAAGAAAAUCUCCGUAAUUUUUUAUAUUGAUUGUAUACUGCAGUGAUAAUAUUUUGGAUGUAUCGGGUUAAAUAAAAUUGACUGAUUUCACCUUUUUCCUAUUUUAAAAGUGGCUACUAAGAAAAUUUUAAAUUACUUACAUGACCGACAUGGUAUUUUUAUUUGGCAGCGCUGCUCUAAGCUGUUGAUGAAAAAUAUUGUUGGUGAGCUCUGCUUAGGUAAUAUGUAGGACACGAGCAGAGAGGAGGCACGUGAACAGUUCUGGCUGAAGUAGGCUUCAUUGAGGCCGUGAUGCUUUUAGCUGGAUUUGAAGAAGUGGUAGUGAGCAUCCCAGUGCACAGGAUAGGAGGACAGUCUAUAUAUUCUGAGCAGUAACUCAUAUAUAUCAUACUGCAAGACCCCAAAGGAGUAAUUUUUUGAAGUAAAUAUCUUAUUUCUCCUUUUUAAUGUUUCUAUUUUGGGAAUUUUUUUUUUUUUAGUAACCUUCAUAGGGCUUGAGAUUUAAAAUUACCUGCAAAAUUCUACUCUAAAAACUUGAUCCUACAUGCUUAUUUAUUUUGUGAUAAAUAUUGGAAAUUUUAAACCUAAGCAAGAAAAUGAACUUUGAACUUUCUUAAUUUGGGUAUCUAUUAUGAAUACCUUCACUUAAGUAUUUAUGAAUUUAGAUAUGAAAGGUAAAACUAACCACUAUCCAAAUUAAUAUACAGUUCAUUUCCAGAACCCUAGUUUCUUCCAUGUGCUCACUCGCAUUCAGUAUUACAACCCCCAAAGAUAAACACCUUACUGACUGCCUUCUCCAUAAAUUUGCCUGUUCUUGAACGUUAUAUACGUAUACUUUUUUGUAUCUGUUUUCUUUCAGUGAAGAUUAUGUCUGUAUUAUUUACUCAUGUUGGGUGUAGUUGUUUUUUUCAUCGUCGUAUAAUACUCCAUUGUGUGAAUGUAUAAAGUAUAUCCUUUAUUAUUUAUUGUAGAUAAGCCUUUGGGUUUUCAGUUUUUUACUAACGGGAACAUUCUUGUGCAUGUCUUAGUAGACUUAGGCACUCAUUGCUGUUGUGUGUGCAUAAAGAUAUAAAGGUAUUUGAGUUUAUUUUAUUUGAUUUCUAGUGAGGUUGAACAUGUCUUGUACUCAAUAACUGUUCAGAUUUCAUUAAAGUCUUUUGGUAAUCUUAAUAUUUUCUGUCAUUUUCUUGCUGAUUUAUAGGAGUUUGAAAAAUCUAAUAAUCCCCUACAUUUUAGAUAUUGCAGACAUUUUCUCCCCAGGUGAGCAUCUGUUAAAGAUGUGACAUGCCCUCAAUUUAUUUUAGAAUUCUUACAUUGGCUUAGCUUCAAAAUAAAUUGCCUAAACCCAUUUUACCUUCCUUUAAAGUAACACUUCAAAAAUAUCCUCUUCUGUUGUGAAUAUCUUCCCGGAAACUCUCUUUAUCUUGAAAACAAAGGGGUAAUGGAGGUACUAGAGAAUAUCUCUAGUAGGAUUUUUAAGACAGGCCUGUGCACCACUGUUAAAUAUCUUUUCUGUACCAAAAAGAAGACCUGUAACAUUUGAGAACCAGAUUGAUCCUUAGUAGAAUCCUGUAGAAGUCCUCUUUCCUGAUUGAACCAUAGAGGUGUAUUCCUUUAUAUACUGAAAACUAGCUGAAGAUAAUCUAAACUCUUGUGCCCAGUUAGGAAAGAACAUGCCAUAUUAUGGACAGGGUCAGAGUCAUUCAAGAAGCCUGAAUAUAGUUAGAAAAUGAGAAUGUAAUCUUUUUAAUAGUUGGCUGGCUCUUUACCAAGCCCAGUAGUCUUGAAGAUAUAGGGGAAAUAGUGUAAACGGUUGUCAAGAUGAAUCUAAAAUGGAAAUUAAUCAGUUCCCUAGAAUAGAUUGAGAAAUUAGCUUUAGGAAAAAGAUAAAUUUCACACACACUGUACCAUGGAAGGUACAGUGCUGAUUCAGACAGACUGGGAAUGGUCUCAUUUUUAAGUGGUGAUGUGAGGUACUUCACUGAGCAUUGUGACAGGCACGGGCUUGGGAAGAGCCUAUUAGGAAAUGGGAGAGGCAUGAGACUAAGGAGCACAUAAGAGUAAUAUUAGCAGAGAAAUUCUUUUUGAGGUUGAAGGUCAUGAAUUUUAUGGUAUAGGAAUAGAAAGAGGGGUUAAUCCAGAAUGGGAUUUGAGUUGGAAAGGGAAAGAAAUAAAGGUUUUGGGAAGGAGGUUGCUAAUAGAAAAUGAGAGGGGCAAGGGAUUUGAGGUCUCAGUAAGGAGACAGGGAUAUGAGGAGUGGAGAGGUUCAGAAUAGAAAGCCAAAUUAGAGUUUUGGGAUCAACUUUCUUCUCAGUAAAGUAGUCCUGGGUCUUCGUGAGAAGGAAGUAUUCUUCAGGCAUAACUGUUCUACUAUUGGUUACUUCCUCUUUCAUUGUCUUGUGGAACACGAUGAAACAUUUAAGAUGAUAUUCAUCUUUUGAGCCAAUAAAUAAGGGAAAUAGAUAGUUUUUGUGUUUGAGCUAAGUGGAGUAUCUCAGGCCAUUCCAAUGUCUUCAGAGUUUUGGCUGUAAUGCUACCUCUUGAGCAAGUGUAGGUAGAGGUAAGCUCUUGACAGAAAAUUUUAACCCUCUCUUCAAAAUGUUAUAUGCUUAAUUAAAUAACUUCUUAAUUUACCUUAAUAAAUGGCGUAUAAACAUUAAGUUAGAAAAGGUUAGUGUAUAUGAAGCUGUAUAAUCAACAUUGUUUGACUUUUUUUCCUCAGAUUGUAAAACUGAAAACUCAGUAUACUAAUACUCUUGUAUACUGUAUACACUCAGUAUUAGAAAAUGAGUACCUUUGAUUUCUGGAAUCUCGGAUGCCAAAAGAGGUCUCAAUAGAUGAAUUAUACAUAGAUGAUUCAUAGACGAUAGUUUUAGUUUUAUUUAUUUUUCAGGGAAAAACAUUUGACAAUGUUCUUGAUUCAUUUUUUUGGUAUUAAAUUAUGCAGCUAAUCUUAGAGAACCCUGAGUGAUGCCAUAAAAGAUGUUGAUGUGGCCUGCUUAAGGAAAGUGCACGGGAAAGUGGCCAUUUGGAAUAGAUUUGUUAAGAAAAGUUUGAAAUUCUUGGACUCGAACUAAUUUGUUUUCCAUGGAUCCCAUGAGGAUACUUGUAAAAGCAGAUGAUAGGGUCCAGUUGGAUCCUGUGAAUGGCACUAGUUUGCAGUUAUGUUUUCUGGAUCUCUUCCAUAUGUCGCUGACUUCUUUGUAUUUGACCAUGUAUGGACAUACAGAAUUUCAUAGGCCAGAGAAGAAAAGAAGCUUUAUAAACAUUCCUUAUGUGUGUAAAAUACAAAUCUUCAUUUGUCUUAGCAAGUCAAUAAGUAAUUAAGUUGUUGAACUGAUUUUUUUUUUAAACAGGGAAAUAUCUUAAAAUUUAAGCUGUUAGGUUAAAAUGUGUGUUUGGUAUACAGCAUAUUACUGAAGGUAGAAUGGGCUUCAUUUGGUAAUAAAGGAACCAGAAAUAUUUUUAAGUAAAAUUGGGAGAUGAUUCAUGUAGAUUAACUAUAUUUUUGUAUCACUUUCUAGAAUACAGUACUAUGUUGUUUAAAAGAGUAAGUAGGUAAAGGAGUGGUAUAAUUACUUUGGAUAUUUCUGCGUCAGCCACAGUUACCAUGAAUAAAUGAUCUGUCUUUAUAAAGGAGAUGGAAGUGAAUUCAAGAUAUUGAGAUGUUAGAUUUGACUGGGUUGUCCUUUGACUAGAAGAUCACCAGAUAAAGAAAAUGUAAACUUCCUAAACCAGAUAAGAUGAUAUUGUUAAAAAAUUUUUUUGGCCCAGCACUUUGGGAGGCUGAAAUGGGAAGAUUGCUUGAACCCAGGAGUUUGAAGCUGCAGUAAGCUAUGAUCUACCAUGCACUCCAGCCUGGGCAACAGAGUGAGACCCUGACUAAAAAAAAAAAUUUUUUUUCCUUUGGUUCUCAUGAUUUCACACUGAUGAAUCUGAUUGUUUUCUCUGAGUCAUUUUGCCUCUCUCAUGUUAUUAGGGUAACCUGAUAAUAGACAUGUUAUCUGAGUUAUGUGGUAUGUAACAGUGAUCUUCUAAAUGAUGUGCAUCCAUCACUGAUACUGAGGAUGAUCAGAAACUAUUACAACUCUUAUUUAUUGAUCUUUACUUUUAAUCUACAGAUAAAUGAUAAUACAUAUUAAUACUUAAUAUUCAGAUUGCCAAUAGUAUAUAUUUGGUGGGUAAAUAUCUUUUGGAUCUGCAAAAUUUUCACUGAUAGUUUGUAUCAGGAUCAAAGCAGUUUGAAGAACAUUAAUCUAAAAGAUAAGACUUUGGCAUCUCAUUUCUCUAAAAGAUAAGUCAUGCAUGUACACACUCAGGCAAUUUUUUUCAGUUUUAUAAGUUUUAUUCUUGAUAAUAAAAUUCUUUUAACAGAAAACUCUUGAUUGCUAUAGACCUCUGCUGUGUAUUCAGUAGUCACUAGCCACAUGUGGCUAUUUAAGUUAAUUCAAAUUAAAUAAAAUUAAAUAUCAGUUCCUUAUUUGCACUAGUCAGAUUUUAAGGAGUAAGUAGCCACAUGGGCAAGUGGCUACCAUAUUGGACAGUGUGGAUACACAACAAUUCCAUCAUCUCAGAAAGUGUUAUUGGAUAGUGUGGCUACAGACUUUUCUUGCUCAGCAAUCUUAGUCUCCGCAUGUUAGUCUCUUCAUGCAUUAGGUAGCAUCUAUAAAACAUGCCAAAAGGAAAUAGGCUAUCUCUAAAAGUGUCCCAAACUUUUUGUCUUGUAAAUUAGCUUAUCAGCAUACUUGGAGCCUCUUGCCUUAAAAAGGACUUGAUAUAAAUGUGUAUCAGGAGAAAGCCUAUCUUAUGAAGGAAUUAUUCCCUUUUUAUUUGAAUCCAUGUUUGCUUUAUCUUCGGCUCCUGAAAACUGAUACUUUGCAUUUAACAGCAGCAUAUGCCCAGGAUGAAUGAUAAUACAUCUCCUGAUACAGAGCUUGAGGUUACAGAAUAUCUUAAAUUGUUCCAGGAACUGUUGUUAUCAUUUAAGUCCAAUAAUCAGUAAGAUUUCACCCUACCAGAAUACACUUUUUUUUAUUAACUGUCUGGACCUUUGCUGAUUACAUUGUCCGGAAUGUGGAGUAUCGCAUUUGAGAAGAGGAUUGGAUCCUAGCCAUAACAUAAAUAUAAGGGUAAUUACAUCCAUGCUGAGAAAGAUUUAGGAAUGAUAGUAAGUUCAUUUGAGUGAGUGGUUUGGGCCAAACUUGAUAGAGAAUAGUCCAGGAAGACAUUUACUAUAAACAGUAGAUUAAAUGUUCUUGCCUGGUUAAUUACAUUUGAACUCUGUUAAUGACUGAAUCACUCAAACUGCUUAAUUGUAUUAUUAGAUGCACAUUUAAGUUAUGUAUUACAUGUCUUUAGUGGUGAUCAGAAUUUUAUCAGUUCCUCUGUCUUUCUUUAUACCAAGUAUGACUCAUAAACCCAGUAUUAAUUUGCCAAGAGAUUGGCAUACUAUUUGUAUAUAUGCUUUUCUUUCAAAUAAUCUGGAUUCCCAAUGCCCACAAUCAUUGAUCCUAAAGAAAAUGUGAGAGUAGGUAGAUAAACUCAAACAUCCCUACCAUCACCCCUGGUAGGAAAUCACUGGUGUAAUGUAUGAUAUUAACAUCUGCACCAAUUACUCUUAUAGGUGGAACAAUCCAAAGUUUUAAUCAGAGAAGGUGGUGUUCAGUUGCUGCUUACAAUAGUUGAUACCCCAGUAUUUGGAGAUGCAGUGGAUAACAGUAAUUGGUAAAAAGGAUUUGUCCUCACAACUUUCCAGUGUAUUUGGGGUACUGGGGUGGUUAAACUUUCUCUUCUUAACAUUUUAAAACUCUUCUUAGCAAAGGUCACCAAACUUCAAGUAACAUGACAGGUUUGUAUACCAACUUUGCCACUUAUUUGACAAAGUUUAACUUCAAAGUUAAACAAAGAAGUUUAACUUCUUUGAACCCAUUUACUUUUUGAUAAAAUGGAGAUAAUACCUAUCAUAAAAUUGUUUUGAAGACAUAUUCCAAAAUAACGUAGCUAGAUAGAAGAAUUCUCAUUAUUGGAAGAAAUUUAAAAUGCUUUGCUUUAAUUUUAUCCAUUUGUAUAAAUUCUAUCACAAUCCUAAUUUAAACCUGAUAUUUAGACCUUCAGUUUUUCCAUAAGUCCUAAGUGAAGAAAACAACUAUGAAAUUUUAGUCUGAAGUAAUUAUCUUAGUAUUUUAUAAAUAACUUUAAUUUUGUUUGAAUUCACAUUGUUUUUGAGGUAUUUUUCUGUCAACUCUUAAAACUCCUAAGUUCAUCAUGA
rnacentral:lncRNA from 1 species